CCUGGUGUCAUUCCAUCAGUGUUAAACUUCCCGGCUCAUCUUGGAAGAGUACGUGCCAGAAAGACCACGACCAAGCAGCCUUGAGAUCUUAGGCAGCGUCUCCCUGAGACCAAAGAACUACAGACUCUUCACAACCUGCUCAAACUCUUGGUACAGGACCUCACCACACGGGUCAAGAAGGUUUCCUUCUCAUUUCUACUCUGAAGCUCACCUUCUCCUGCUCAAACUGCUGACAAAUGUUUCUGCUGCUCUAAAGUCU
ensembl:lncRNA